rnacentral:lncRNA from 1 species
CAAGAUCAAUGCUUAGGAAGAUGAAAGCUUCUACUUCCUUUUUCUUGGAACACUUGCUGGUGAAACAGUCUUGCUUGGAACCUGGCUACCAUGCCAAGAGGAAGCCCAGCCCCUUCAUGUUUGAAAGAGGGGAUUGAAUGGAAUUGCUGUGCCCCAAGUCUCAGGCUGGAGAGGUGCUUGGAGACGACUCUUCACUACAAGGUCCUGUUUGACCCACCUUCUUUAAUUUACAGAAGAGGAAGCCAAGAGCAAGAGGGGAAGUGCCUUGCCCACAGUCCCAUGGUUAUCUUUCCCUACAGCGUAACCCAGUGCAGACACCUCUUCAAUCACAGGCUCACUGAAGCUGUGUCUGGGGAAGGGCCACUCCACCUCCUCUAUCUUCCCUGCACUCACUUGUCUGGCCAGCUGCCCUGGGUCCUGCCUCCCUGCAGCUGCCUCCACAGCAGCAAUGCACUGGGGCAGAGGGAGGAAGACCCCUCAAGAAGGUUGUGGGACAGGUGAUUGGUCACCAGAUAUGGGAGGCCAGCCAGGUGACCUCUUGGGACUACCUGACCCUGUGAUGCCAUCAGCUUGGCAUCAGACCUCAGGGGUGGGGUGGGCUCACAGGAAACUGGGCCUCUACCCUUCCCCUCCAGCUUACCAGUCAAAAAUAACUUGCAGUUUCCGGAAGAACGUGCAUCUUGCAAGAAGCCCUGGAAUCUGCUGCCCGGCACAGAAUGUCGGUCAGGGUUGAACCCCUCUCUCUCCGGCUUUGCUUGGCUUUCCUUUCACCACCUGUUACCUCAUUUCAUUCAGAAUUCCUGUUGGUUUCUGCGCUGGAAUCCCUGAUUUUCCUCAAGUGUGGAAAACACAGCACUGAUGAGAUACCAGUUGCUUUUCAGCGGUAAACUGACAGACUUGUAAGAAA